GUCCACGCCCUAAACGAUGUCAACUAGCCGUUGGGUUCAUAUAAGGACUUAGUGGCGCAGCUAACGCGAUAAGUUGACCGCCUGGGGAGUACGGCCGCAAGGUUAAAACUCAAAGGAAUUGACGGGGGCCCGCACAAGCGGUGGAGCAUGUGGUUUAAUUCGAUGCAACGCGAAGAACCUUACCUGCCCUUGACAUCCUCGGAACUUGGCAGAGAUGCCUUGGUGCCUUCGGGAACCGAGUGACAGGUGCUGCAUGGCUGUCGU
rnacentral:rRNA from 1 species